GAUGAACGCUAGCGGCAGGCCUAACACAUGCAAGUCGCGGGGCAGCGCGGUGCAGCAAUGCACUGGCGGCGACCGGCGCACGGGUGCGUAACGCGUAUGCAACCUGCCCAUUCCCGGGGGAUAGCCCGCCGAAAGGCGGAUUAAUACCCCAUGGACCCUUAGCCCCGCAUGGGGCGGAGGGUAAAGCUCCGGCGGGAAUGGAUGGGCAUGCGUGCCAUUAGCUGGUUGGUGGGGGUAACGGCCCACCAAGGCUACGAUGGCUAGGGGGUCUGGGAGGAUGAUCCCCCACACUGGUACUGAGACACGGACCAGACUCCUACGGGAGGCAGCAGUGAGGAAUAUUGGUCAAUGGGCGGAAGCCUGAACCAGCCAUGCCGCGUGCAGGACGACGGCCC
rnacentral:rRNA from 1 species